UGCCAGACUCCUACGGGAGGCAGCAGUGGGGGAUAUUGCACAAUGGGGGAAACCCUGAUGCAGCGACGCCGCGUGAGUGAAGAAGUAAUUCGUUACGUAAAGCUCUAUCAGCAGGGAAGAAAAUGACGGUACCUGACUAAGAAGCCCCGGCUAACUACGUGCCAGCAGCCGCGGUAAUACGUAGGGGGCAAGCGUUAUCCGGAUUUACUGGGUGUAAAGGGAGCGUAGACGGAAAGGCAAGUCAGAAGUGAAAGCCCAAGGCUCAACCAUGGGACUGCUUUUGAAACUGUCAAACUAGAGUACGGGAGAGGUAAGAGGAAUUCCUAGUGUAGCGGUGAAAUGCGUAGAUAUUAGGAGGAACACCAGUGGCGAAGGCGACUUUCUGGACAGUAACUGACGUUGAGGCACGAAAGUGUGGGGAGCAAACAGGAUUAGAUACCCGAGUA
rnacentral:rRNA from 1 species